rfam:TPA: Bos taurus chromosome 10, whole genome shotgun sequence.
AAAGAGCACCCAAAUACAUGAAUUUUCGUAGAGAAAACAGCAUAUCACCAACAGAGCAUAAUACAAAAUUGGAAAUUAAUCAAAACUUCUAAUCACUUACAGAUUGAAGAAG